CCUACGGGAGGCAGCAGUAGGGAAUAUUGCUCAAUGGGCGAAAGCCUGAAGCAGCAACGCCGCGUGCGCGAUGAAGGUCUUCGGAUCGUAAAGCGCUUUUCUGCGAGAUGAGAAAGGACAGUAUCGUAGGAAUAAGUCUCGGCUAACUACGUGCCAGCAGCCGCGGUAACACGUAGGAGGCGAGCGUUAUCCGGAUUCACUGGGCGUAAAGCACAUGCAGG
rnacentral:rRNA from 1 species